CCUACGGGAGGCAGCAGUAGGGAAUAUUUCUCAAUGGGGGAAACCCUGAAGCAGCAACGCCGCGUGGAGGAUGAAGGUUUUAGGAUUGUUAACUCCUUUUGUUAGAGAAGCUUAUGACGGUAUUUAACGAAUAAGCAUCGGCUAACUCCGGGUCAGUAGCCGCGGGAAUACGGAGGGUGCAAGCGUUACGCGGAAUCACUGGGCGUAAAGAGUGCGCAGGCGGGGUAAUAAGUCAGGUGGGAAAUCCUGUAGCUUAACUACAGAACUGCAUGUGAAACUGUUACUCUGGAGUGUGGGAGAGGUAGGUGGAAUUCUUGGUGUAGGAGUGAAAUCCGUAGAGAUCAAGAGGAAUACUCAUUGCGAAGGCGAGCUGCUGGAACAUUACUGACGCUGAUGCACGAAAGCGUGGGGAGCGAACAGGAUUAGAUACCCGGGUAGUC
rnacentral:rRNA from 1 species